ensembl:lncRNA
CCAUGGGAAGAGCUAUUCAUUAGCAUUCUCAUUUCCAUUUAGGCUACUAAAAUAAAAAAAAAUAUUUUGUCAUAAUGCACGGUGAAGACUGAUGAAUAAAAAAACAGUUACCAAUUUAGCACUGCUGACUGUGAGAAGUGAAUCACACACAUUUACAAACCAAACAGGAUUAAUGGUUUAAUGGUAAUAGUGUUUCCUGGGUCACCUGAUUAUUUACAGCAGCGCGGCCUUGACUGACAUCACCUGCUAAUGUCCUCAAUCAGACAUUAUGAGUUAAAUAAUCCAAUUCUUUAUAUACAUUCAACUUUAUAUACAUCAAAUCUUACAAGUCAGACAUUUCAAAACUUAAUUGAAUGUGUUCAAAUAGUUUUGUAAAAAAUAAAUAAAUAUUUUUUUUUCUGUGCAUAAAUAUGAUUUUGUAUUAAUUUUUAAAGGUUGCAUUUAUUUAUUAUUUAUUAGUUUUUAAAGCAUAGCCUAUAUGCCGUUUUUAAAUGAAUUUUAAAAUAUAUAAAAAAUAUAAAACAGUUUUGACUUUUUGAACCUCUGCUGGACUCCUUUGAAAGAAUUAAACUCAGACGCGUCUGGCUGUGCGAUCCCGGUUUAGCUGACCUCUGGUGUGCUAUCUGUGCCACAUCCCAUUGACGCACACAGGCACUGGGCUUAUUUAAGGAUUUAAUGCGUGUUAUGAGGGCAGGAUGGGGUGACGAUUAUAAAGGAAGGAACGGACGGAAGGGGCACAGUGUUCAUGAAUGGACGUGUGUCUCAAAGGAGCCUGAAGCUUCUUCAUCUUCUUCAUCAACAUCUGUACCUUCAGCUCUGCUGAAGAAGGUCCAAGUGAACCGGAUUUUCUUCUGACGGGAAUCAUGGAAUCCGUGUCUCACACGUUACCUCGCCCAGAAGGAUCCAUACCACGGAGAGCCUUGAAGGUCCCGGCUCGGGGGGCCUCCUCACAUUUUGUGGGAUCCACCAUCGUCAUCCUCUCGUCUUACGCUGUAGCGACGCUGGCUAUGAACUGUGGGAAAAAAAUCCAGGAUCAGAGAAUGGGCACUUUAAAAAACUGAAGCAAGAACUUCAGGGCCCUUUAGCUCUAAUGGCUCGUAAUGGAAUUGCCUUAUAACUCAGUUUAUGCGUAUGAGCUGAUGUUAACAGCGUCUGCUGGCUCUGCUGAAGAAAAAUGACAACUCAUAGAGCUGAUAUGAUUAUGAUCUGUAAUGUUGUAGGUUAAAGCCACAGGACAGCAUGCAUGGAUUCAGGUCAGCAUCCGAGGACCAUCGUUCCUGACGGUCAGCGGGAGCAGCAACAUGUCUCACUGAAUAUUGUCACAAUUUAUUUAUUUUUGUUCUGGAUGUAACAUCUAGAGAGAUACAUUACCAAAUAACUGACUUAUAAAGUUAUUUAAAUGUCUCAUUUGUACUGUAAUUUAGAUAAUAAAAGCAUUCGAU